CCUACGGGAGGCAGCAGUAGGGAAUCUUCGGCAAUGGACGGAAGUCUGACCGAGCAACGCCGCGUGAGUGAAGAAGGUUUUCGGAUCGUAAAGCUCUGUUGUAAGAGAAGAACGAGUGUGAGAGUGGAAAGUUCACACUGUGACGGUAUCUUACCAGAAAGGGACGGCUAACUACGUGCCAGCAGCCGCGGUAAUACGUAGGUCCCGAGCGUUGUCCGGAUUUAUUGGGCGUAAAGCGAGCGCAGGCGGUUAGAUAAGUCUGAAGUUAAAGGCUGUGGCUUAACCAUAGUACGCUUUGGAAACUGUUUAACUUGAGUGCAAGAGGGGAGAGUGGAAUUCCAUGUGUAGCGGUGAAAUGCGUAGAUAUAUGGAGGAACACCGGUGGCGAAAGCGGCUCUCUGGUCUGUAACUGACGCUGAGGCUCGAAAGCGUGGGGAGCGAACAGGAUUAGAUACCCUGGUAGUCCACGCCGUAAACGAUGAGUGCUAAGUGUUGAUCUCAUAAGAGAUCAGUGCUGCAGCUAACGCAUUAAGCACUCCGCCUGGGGAGUACGACCGCAAGGUUGAAACUCAAAGGAAUUGACGG
rnacentral:rRNA from 1 species